rnacentral:rRNA from 1 species
AUUGAACGCUGGCGGCAUGCCUUACACAUGCAAGUCGAACGGCAGCACGGGAGCAAUCCUGGUGGCGAGUGGCGAACGGGUGAGUAGAGUAUCGGAACGUGCCCAGUCGUGGGGGAUAACGUAGCGAAAGUUACGCUAAUACCGCAUACGAUCUAUGGAUGAAAGCGGGGGAUCGCAAGACCUCGCGCGAUUGGAGCGGCCGAUAUCAGAUUAGCUAGUUGGUGGGGUAAAGGCCCACCAAGGCGACGAUCUGUAGCUGGUCUGAGAGGACGACCAGCCACACUGGAACGGAGACACGGUCCAGACUCCUACGGGAGGCAGCAGUGGGGAAUUUUGGACAAUGGGCGCAAGCCUGAUCCAGCAAUGCCGCGUGCAGGAUGAAGGCCUUCGGGUUGUAAACUGCUUUUGUACGGAACGAAACGGCCCUUUCUAAUACAGGGGGCUAAUGACGGUACCGUAAGAAUAAGCACCGGCUAACUACGUGCCAGCCGCCGCCGUAA